GUCGAGCGGUAGAGAGAAGCUUGCUUCUCUUGAGAGCGGCGGACGGGUGAGUAAUGCCUAGGAAUCUGCCUGGUAGUGGGGGAUAACGUUCGGAAACGGACGCUAAUACCGCAUACGUCCUACGGGAGAAAGCAGGGGACCUUCGGGCCUUGCGCUAUCAGAUGAGCCUAGGUCGGAUUAGCUAGUUGGUGGGGUAAUGGCUCACCAAGGCGACGAUCCGUAACUGGUCUGAGAGGAUGAUCAGUCACACUGGAACUGAGACACGGUCCAGACUCCUACGGGAGGCAGCAGUGGGGAAUAUUGGACAAUGGGCGAAAGCCUGAUCCAGCCAUGCCGCGUGUGUGAAGAAGGUCUUCGGAUUGUAAAGCACUUUAAGUUGGGAGGAAGGGUUGUAGAUUAAUACUCUGCAAUUUUGACGUUACCGACAGAAUAAGCACCGGCUAACUCUGUGCCAGCAGCCGCGGUAAUACAGAGGGUGCAAGCGUUAAUCGGAAUUACUGGGCGUAAAGCGCGCGUAGGUGGUUUGUUAAGUUGGAUGUGAAAUCCCCGGGCUCAACCUGGGAACUGCAUUCAAAACUGACUGACUAGAGUAUGGUAGAGGGUGGUGGAAUUUCCUGUGUAGCGGUGAAAUGCGUAGAUAUAGGAAGGAACACCAGUGGCGAAGGCGACCACCUGGACUAAUACUGACACUGAGGU
rnacentral:rRNA from 1 species